CCUACGGGCGGCAGCAGUGAGGAAUCUUGGUCAAUGGACGAGAGUCUGAACCAGCCAAGUAGCGUGAAGGAUGACUGCCCUAUGGGUUGUAAACUUCUUUUAUAUGGGAAUAAAACGUUCCACGUGUGGGAUUUUGUAUGUACCAUAUGAAUAAGGAUCGGCUAACUCCGUGCCAGCAGCCGCGGUAAUACGGAGGAUCCGAGCGUUAUCCGGAUUUAUUGGGUGUAAAGGGAGCGUAGGUGGAUUGUUAAGACAGUUGGGAAAGUUUGAGGUUCAACCGUCAAACUGCAGUUGAAACUGGCAGUCUUGAGGACAGUAGAGGUGGGCGGAAUUCGUGGUGUAGCGGUGAAAUGCUGAGAUAUCACGAAGAACUCCGAUUGCGUAGGCAGUUCACUGGACUGCAACUGACACUGAGGCUCGAAAGUGUGGGUAGCAAACAGGAUUAGAUACCCCUGUAGUC
rnacentral:rRNA from 1 species